UACGUAGGGGGCAAGCGUUGUCCGGAUUUAUUGGGCGUAAAGAGCGUGUAGGCGGCUAGGUAGGUCCGUUGUGAAAACUCGAGGCUCAACCUCGAGACGCCGAUGGAAACCAUCUGGCUAGAGUCCGGAAGAGGAGGGUGGAAUUCCUGGUGUAGCGGUGAAAUGCGCAGAUAUCAGGAAGAACACCAAUGGCGAAGGCAGCUCUCUGGGACGGUACUGACACUGAGACGCGAAAGCGUGGGGAGCGAACAGG
rnacentral:rRNA from 1 species